AGAGUUUGAUCCUGGCUCAGGACGAACGCUGGCGGCGUGCCUAAUACAUGCAAGUCGAGCGCAGGAAACUGACGGAACUCUUCGGAGGGAAGGCAGCGGAAUGAGCGGCGGACGGGUGAGUAACACGUAAGGAACCUGCCUCAAGGAUUGGGAUAACUCCGAGAAAUCGGAGCUAAUACCGGAUAGUUCAACGGACCGCAUGGUCCGCUGAUGAAAGGCGCUUCGGCGUCACCUUGAGAUGGCCUUGCGGUGCAUUAGCUAGUUGGUGGGGUAACGGCCCACCAAGGCGACGAUGCAUAGCCGACCUGAGAGGGUGAUCGGCCACACUGGGACUGAGACACGGCCCAGACUCCUACGGGAGGCAGCAGUAGGGAAUCUUCCACAAUGGACGAAAGUCUGAUGGAGCAACGCCGCGUGAGUGAUGAAGGUUUUCGGAUCGUAAAACUCUGUUGUAAGGGAAGAACACGUACGAGAGGAAAUGCUCGUACCUUGACGGUACCUUACGAGAAAGCCACGGCUAACUACGUGCCAGCAGCCGCGGUAAUACGUAGGUGGUAAGCGUUGUCCGGAAUUAUUGGGCGUAAAGCGCGCGCAGGCGGCCUUUUAAGUCUGAUGUGAAAGCCCCCGGCUCAACCGGGGAGGGCCAUUGGAAACUGGAAGGCUUGAGUACAGAAGAGAAGAGUGGAAUUCCACGUGUAGCGGUGAAAUGCGUAGAGAUGUGGAGGA
rnacentral:rRNA from 1 species